rnacentral:rRNA from 1 species
CAGUAGCCGCGGGAAUACGUAGGGUGCGAGCGUUAAUCGGAAUUACUGGGCGUAAAGCGUGCGCAGGCGGUUGUGCAAGACAGAUGUGAAAUCCCCGAGCUUAACUUGGGAACUGCAUUUGUGACUGCACGGCUAGAGUGUGUCUGAGGGGGGUAGAAUUCCACGUGUAGCAGUGAAAUGCGUAGAUAUGUGGAGGAAUACCGAUGGCGAAGGCAGCCCCCUGGGAUAACACUGACGCUCAUGCACGAAAGCGUGGGGAGCAAACAGGAUUAGAUACCCCCGUAGUCCCUGUCUCUUAUAA